rnacentral:rRNA from 1 species
CCUACGGGCGGCUGCAGGGAGGAAUAUUGGGCAAUGGGCGCGAGCCUGAACCAGCCAAGUAGCGUGAAGGAUGACGGCCCUACGGGGUGUAAACUUCUUUUAUAAAGGAAUAAAGUGAGGCACGUGUGCCGUUUUGUAUGUACUUUAUGAAUAAGGAUCGGCUAACUCCGUGCCAGCAGCCGCGGUAAUACGGAGGAUCCGAGCGUUAUCCGGAUUUAGUGGGUGUAAAGGGAGCGUAGAUGGGUUGUUAAGUCAGUUGUGAAAGUUUGCGGCUCAACCGUAAAAUUGCAAUUGAUACUGGCAGCCUUGCGUACAGUUGCGGUAGGCGGAUUUCGUGGUGUAGCGG